GAUAUCGACAUCAGACCGGGUCUGUACGCAGCGUCAUUAGGUGACCGGGGGCAACACCCUGCUCAGGGCUUCACCGACCGGCUGAACGCGAGCUGUCGCAGAAAACGCCCCCAGCAUGCGCCUCAAACUCAUCGCAGCAACAGCACCAUGGAGCGGAGAUUCAGCCCCUGGAUUGGGGGUCCAUCUCGCCUCGCGGGGCACGUUCCAGCAGAUGUGGAUCUCCAAGCAGGAGUACGAGGCAGGGCGGGAAGCAGUGCGUGGAGCGGAAAUGCCCCUGAUGCAGCCGGCACCCCUGCGGUGGGCUGGGGCCCAGGGUCAUCUUCCGUGGGGGUUCCCCCUCCGCACUCACCCCUCUCCAAGCUGUUGUCCAACCAUUGUGCUCACAACACCUUUUUGGCUGGGGAGAGAUCCAAUCCCCCCAUCCACAGCCCCCAUGGGCUGUGCCGUUCCCCCCCCCUCCCCCCGGUGUCCCUCGCUAGCUCGUUCCGUGGUUCGUUAAUUGGGUCGGUUCAUUUUCAUGGUGCGAAUGUGGCUAUGCUGGAAU